GAAACAGGAGAAAGGAGAAAUAUGUUAAGGGCCCUUGUUUCCUUCCCCGGGACAGUUUUUUCCACAAGUAUUAGGAUCUGAGUUGGAGAGACGGAGAAGUGAGAAAGGGAAAAAGCAGGUUAUGGGUGAAAAAAAGUCUGCCUCUGCUGUCGAGACCAGGCUCCAGUACUGCCCAGUAAAACCAUAAAUAGCGUUAUGUACACAGCGGUCCUCACACUUCUAAUGCCCAGAUACAAACGUCACCUCCUCUGUGAAGAUUCCCUACUGUGAGUCUAGGGACUAUGGUCAAGCACAUAAUAUGUACUCAAAUGCAAAGUAGAUGAAUGAAAGUUUUUAAAACUAAAAUCUAUCAUGAAGCUUCAGUCAUGAGUGACGGUCAUAAAAUUAGGCUGUAAAUUAGCCUAUGGACAGAUGAUCAGAGAAGCUGAAAAGAAAGCCAGUUCUUAUUUAGAUUAGCUGAAUGUCUUUGUAACAAAGUAGUUCCUCUUUGGAUUUUUAAUUUUUCUUAAUGCUUAAAAUUUAAUUUGAAAUCAUAAACCUAUCUGCUCGUGGGCCAUAAUCUGCCUACUAUUUAAAAAGGAAACCACAUUAAAUAUGCAGAAAUGUGUUAAUAUUUUAACACCCAAAUUACUACCCACAAUUCCUCCCCUGCUGCAUGCUCUGCUACUUGGAGUCGCAGAGGGGACACAUGCACUGCAGAGCCCAUCUUUCAUGGUCACCCACAUUGUUGCUCCUGCAGUGAGACUCAAGUGCCUCACCAUUAAUGAUGCCCCGUGGACAAAGGGACACAGAGAGGAGUGUGAGCCUCAUCGAUGUGUUUUUAUUUACUAGAUCCUUAAAAUGCAGGCACAAUAACAGUUGUUAAUCAGCAGCAACCCUGCUAUCUAUCCAGGUUUUUGAACUGACAAAUAAUUACUGUACCUGGAAAGGACAAGGGAGGUGUUUAUCUUGAAGCUAAUACCGCCAUCCCCUUAGCACCAUUCACAGCUCUGUCUGGACAUUGAUUUUGCACUUAAGAAGGAAGACUAGCCCCUAAUGAAGCAACACCCAGCAUCUUUUCAGUUCUUUCUGCACGUCUUCCUCAUCAAGCCUAAGUGCACCCCACAGGGCUUCUGGAGGCUGACCAGGCUGGCUUUGGAUGGUUACUGUGAUAAAAGAGCUGUGUGAAAAUCAAUGUGGAGAAGAAACAAAGAUGGUGGCGUUCAAUCUGAUUCCAAGGUUUUAGAAGUUGUACAGUACUCAAAAGGCACACACAUCUAUAGGCUUUGGAGAAUAAAGUUUUGCUGACUAUCGAGGAACGAAGAAACUGAGGGAGAUGUGAGUUACAUGGGGAAACCAAAGGACAUAAAGAUUCAUGAGAGGAGGUCAAAAGAAGCUGCAUUUCACUCAUGACAAUGACUUGACUCUUGCCUGAAAGGAAAGGGCUAUUAAAGGCGAUUUUUAAAA